rnacentral:rRNA from 1 species
AGAGUUUGAUCAUGGCUCAGGAUGAACGCUGGCGGCGUGCCUAAUACAUGCAAGUCGAGCGGAAAGGCCUCUUCGGAGGUACUCGAGCGGCGGACGGCUGAGUAACACGUAGGAACGUACCCCAAAGUGAGGGAUAACUGCUCGAAAGAGUAGCUAAUACCGCAUGUGAUCUAAGGAUUAAAGCCUUCGGGCGCUAUGGGAACGGCCUGCGCAUGAUUAGCUAGUUGGUAAGGUAAUGGCUUACCAAGGCGAUGAUCAUUAGCUGGUCUGAGAGGAUGAUCAGCCAGACUGGGACUGAGAACGGCCCAGACUCCUACGGGAGGCAGCAGUAGGGAAUUUUCCACAAUGGACGAAAGUCUGAUGGAGCAACGCCGCGUGCAGGAUGAAUGCCUUCGGGUUGUAAACUGCUUUUAUUAGUGACGAUUAUGACGGUAACUAAUGAAUAAGGACCUGCUAACUACGUGCCAGCCGCCGCGGUAAUAC